rnacentral:rRNA from 1 species
GAUCUGGCUCAGAACGAACGCUGGCGGCAGGCUUAACACAUGCAAGUUGAACGGGAUUUGUGUGGUGCUUGCACCAUAUAAUGAGAGUAGCGCACUGGUGAGUAACACGUGGGAACGUACCUUUUGGUGGGGGACAACAUCUGGAAACGGAUGCUAAUACCGCAUAAGACCUGAGGGUGAAAGAUUUAUCGCCGAAAGAACGGCCCGCGGAAGAUUAGGCAGUUGGUGGGGUAAAGGCCUACCAAACCUACAAU